GGGGAGGCUCCGGGGAGGCGCCGUGCGUCGUGCGCUGCAAGGCUUGGCCUCCGAUAUGUGCGCGGCGCUCGGUUCCCGUUUGACUGAUCAGAUGCUCAGCGCGCGGCUAAACACCGACGGCUGACUAAACUCAGGAGAGCCACUGAAGCGCUCGGCUGGUCGUGUUUCUUCGUUUCCACGACUGUUCUCCACGGAAAUACAGCCUCCGGACCCACUGCGCGUUGCCUCACGUCCCCCUUGGGGGUCGAGGGAGGAAAGAAGUAAAAAAAAAAAAAAAAAAAAAGAACGAUAGGGAGAGACUCCUAGAGAGAGAGAGAGAGAGAGAGAGAGAGAGAGAGAGAGAGAGAGAGAACAGACGCUGGGCUCUGGCUCUGCGGGGCUGGCCGCUUCUCUGUGGUUCGGGGAGGCUCGAGGGCGAUGCUGCUGGGCGGGGAUCUUACACAGUUUCUGCCCGGUGGCGGAGGAGAAGAUGCGAACUGCAGCUACAGAACACCCGCAACGCCACCGUCGUGUUUUCAGACCAAGAAUUGAUGAUGGUGAUGAUGCUGCCUCCCCCAGCGCUCUUUUUCUGCUCCUCCGGAUCCCUUUCGCCCGGGAUUCUUGUUCUCCCGACACUGGAUUAUAGAUGAUUGCUGUGGACACUAUUUUUUUCUUUUAAUUUACAUCAACUCUUUUUAUUUUCCGAAGCGAGGCGCAGGGAAAAGACAUAAAUUGGCGGGCUGAGGACCGGUGUAUUUUAAAAGCGGUUUUUUAUAUAUAAUUGUUUUUUGUUUUUUAUUUUUUGCCUCUCCAAGUGCGUGCAAUCACGCCCAAAAUCAGCGACCGACGCCUUGGCGGUGAGGAGGAGGGGGGGAGAAGAAGAAGACGGAGGAGGAGGGGGAGGAGGGAUGCCGCACCGUCCAUCACCAAAUAUCAACAAAUGUCACCAGGCUCGGAUUUUGGGGAAGCCCCCCUCGGCUGGCGUUUGCGUGUAACCCGAGCAGCAGUGUGGUGGCAGUGAGAGGCUGCAGCGGGACUUUCUGCCGCGACAUAUCAAACGUUGCAGAUCUAUGGAACAAAAUUAAAUGAAUUAUUAAAAAUUUCAUUCGUAUCUAUUUCUAUUUUUAUCACCGCCGGGAAAAAAGGAGGUGGAGGAGGACUU
ensembl:lncRNA